rnacentral:rRNA from 1 species
CUACGUGCCAGCAGCCGCGGUAAUACGGAGGGUGCGAGCGUUAAUCGGAAUAACUGGGCGUAAAGGGCACGCAGGCGGUGACUUAAGUGAGGUGUGAAAGCCCCGGGCUUAACCUGGGAAUUGCAUUUCAUACUGGGUCGCUAGAGUACUUUAGGGAGGGGUAGAAUUCCACGUGUAGCGGUGAAAUGCGUAGAGAUGUGGAGGAAUACCGAAGGCGAAGGCAGCCCCUUGGGAAUGUACUGACGCUCAUGUGCGAAAGCGUGGGUAGCAAACAGGAUUAGAUACCCUGGUAGUCCACGCCCUAAACGAUGUCAAUUAGCUGUUGGGCAACUUGAUUGCUUAGUAGCGUAGCUAACGCGUGAAAUUGACCGCCUGGGGAGUACGGUCGCAAGAUUAAAACUCAAAGGAAUUGACGGGGACCCGCACAAGCGGUGGAUGAUGUGGAUUAAUUCGAUGCAACGCGAAGAACCUUACCUGGUCUUGACAU